rnacentral:rRNA from 1 species
AUACGUAGGGGGCGAGCGUUGCCCGGAAUGAUUGGGCGUAAAGGGCGCGUAGGCGGCGAGGUAAGUCUGGAGUGAAAGCCAUGCUUUCAAGGUGGGAAUUGCUUUGGAUACUGCCGCGCUUGAGUGCAGGAGAGGGUAUGGGAAUUCCGGGUGUAGGGGUGAAAUGGGUAGAGAUCGGGAGGAACACCAGUGGCCAAGGCGAGGAACAGGAGUGCAACUGACGCUGAGUGGAGAAAGUGCUGGGAGCAAAAAGGAUUAGAUACCCUGGUAGUCCACAGUGGCACCGAUGUAUGCUAGGUAUAUGAGGGAUCGCCCCGUUUUGUGCCGGAUUCAACUCAAUAAGCAAUCCCCCUGGGGAGUACGGCCGAAAGGUUGAAACUCAAAGGAAUUGACGGGG